GCAGUGUUGACCGAGGGGUUAAGGUGUCGGCCUUAAGUUAGCUAGCUUUUAUCCGAUUGGUUUUCACCAGCGAGGGUUCAAAUCCCCCACACUGCA
rfam:Cryptococcus amylolentus CBS 6039 supercont1.14, whole genome shotgun sequence.